CAACCCAUUCAAUAGUUAUGUUUUAUGUUUAUAAGAACAAAGUAACAAAGUAUAAUAUUAUAAAGAUAUUGUAUGUAUUUAUGAUAUAGUUUUGUGUUAAUAUGAACAUUUACAUUAUACACAAGAAAUGAGAUAAAAAUGAUAUAGCAGCAACAGCCUUAAAGGUUCAAGAAUGGAAUGCUAACAUCAAGAAUUAUUCUUAUUCAAGAAAGAAGAUGCUACUGCACGAUGUUUGGGAGAAACUUCAAUUAUCAAAUCAAGGCAUGAGGAGGAAAUUAAUGAAGGCAUUGGCAGGAAAAAACCAAAUGAAGUCUUCAAUUACAAAACUUAACAAACAGAACAGAAUACUUAAAAAAUGUAAUAGAAGACUUAGAGGACGAAAGUUUUACUAUGAAAAUCCUUCAAAUCAUGCACAAGGAAAAGGAAAGUUGUCAAAAAAAACGACAAGAAUAUUACAACAAAGCGAAAAAUUGAGAAGCAGAGGAGUAUUUUCUAUCCAA
rnacentral:lncRNA from 1 species